AGUACAUCCAAACCCUAAAACAUUUGAAGCUUUCGCCAAUAAAAUUGUGGAUUUAUUUACGAGUGAAUCUAAAGAUAUAUAUUACAUUCAUAAGAAAGGAAAAAAGCCAGGUGGAUCUCUGUAUGCUAAGUACCACAGUGUAUUAUUGAAACUUAGACGGGAUGGUCUUAUUUCCAAAAGAGAUGUAGAACCAACAACAAAAGGAACGGAGAUUAAUUCUUGCAUAACAGAUUGCAUUCAAGAAAAAUCAUGGUUAAAGUAUAACGUUGAACCAUUCGAUGAAGUUCAACUAAAAUGGGAAGCGACUUUUGCUGUGCGAC